ensembl:lncRNA novel transcript
AGAGUGCUUGCCUGGGGAGUCGGAGGAGCUCCGGUUAUGUCCAAGCCGAACCCCUGGAGCCUCUGGACUGCCUGGCACUGAGGGAGCGGGAACUGGACGGUGGGCAUGUGGCCGGGAGGAGCCUUCCAACCAGAAGAAACUAAGUUUUCAAGUUUCCUGCUGUGUCAUCUCAACUGGAAAGUGUCGUCCCCCAGGAAGUCUCCUGCCCUCCCUCUCUGCACAGGGAGCCGCUUCCCACUCUGUCCUUCGAUGGACACGCUGAUGCAGCUGGGAAUGAGCUUGGAAACGCUAACUGACCAGAGUGAUUUCUGGGCCCUGAGUGCAUUACAGAUGGAGAAAGCUUCUGAAUUCUCUAUGGAACUCCAGGCCUGACCUUGGGAUGGGAGACGGGCGGCUGGGCGCACAAGGAAAGAGGCCUCGCCUUGCGCCACGGAGGAGGUGCUACCCCGAGCACUGUCUGGGGAGGAUUUCAAGGCUGUGCCCAGGCCACCCCUGAUGGAUGCAUCAGUCACUUCAGCCAUGGUGCCGGCAGGGAGCCCAAGCGCGGGAGCAUCCUCUGUCGUCCUCGCAGCCGGGACCCUCUCAUUUCCUGUCUGCACAGCAGCCCCGGCGUGUUCCUCUGUGAAAGCCAGGAGCACGGGGGUGACGCCUUCUGGGCCUGCCACUGUUCCUUCAGAAGCGACCUUUGACCUCCCCAUCAGCCUGUGCUGCUAGGUCUGGGGUCAUUUUCUGCUCAGAUAUCUCCUCUCCCUGACGAUCGAUUCCCCCUGGAGGGGUGAGCCACUGUCGGGAGGGGAGACGGAGCUGAGCAUGCAAGGAAGGGCAACCCCAGCCCAGAUCCUGGAGGGCUUUGGGCUUCCAGGUAGAAGCCGGUCUUCGCGUCAGCAAACCAAGAAAAUGCCUCCCUGAAAUGGUCUCCAGCUUCAAAAGUCACUGGAUUUUUCAAUGAGAAGGAGAAGUUAGGCAGCUACCAAAUAGCUGAAAGAAUAUUAAAUCUGAUGGAUCCAGCCAAAUAAAAAUGUUCAUUCAUAGGAUCUGUGGUUGUUGAGGAAUCUUCUAAGUUUCAUAAAUGGCAAAAACUCUUUCUCAGACUUACAGAUCAGACCUCACAUAUGCAUGAGAAGAGAAGCUAUUUUUGUCUCUGGGUUCCAGUUACACAGCCACAGCCUGGAAGCUUUGUUCUCAGAAUUCAUGCUGUCAUCAAAAGGACUCAAUACAAACACUGCAGCCAGCCUGCCAUGGCUUAGCUGUGACCGCAGCUGCAAACUCUUCUGUCAUGUGAAAACUUUUGGCUUUUUCCGGGUGUGGAAUGCCUGUUGGUCCCAGCUCCGCCUGCCUUUCCUCCUUCUGGAAUCGUGUCCAUCCUUUCAGUCAACUCAGUUUGUCCGCAUCUUCCAGGCCUCAUACCUCCGCCUGAUCUGCAUGGCAGUGGUGGGCUUGCUCUUUGUGCUAUUACACUGACUGUGAUCGUGUUUAGUGAGUCAGCUUCUACAAAGUUGACCUGCACCUGUGUGAUGUCUCUCCCUAGCUGGAUGCAGCUUCUCCAUGGGCUAAGUUCAUCAUGUUAACAGUGCCUGCCCCACAGGCCCUCAGGGGAUCUUAGUGGGUGGUCUAUGGAGAGACUUUAGUGGGUAUAUGAAUCCCCAAAAUUGUAGGCAAAGUUUGUGUAUGCUGUGGCCUAUCGACAGCGGGGACUCUGCCGCUGAUUUCUCCUAAGAAGCCUCCUGGGGGUUUGAGCGAAUCGUGGUGGUCUCCUUCCCUCUGGAGUGAUUAGUUUUGGCUUUGGCUCAACAUGGUGCAGACCCAUGGGAUCCAAAGGGAAGUUGGCCGGGCAUUUCUGGGAAGGAUGUCUCUUCUUCUGAUUUCUGAGUGAGGGUAGGAAGCCCUCUUCUUCAUCAGACGCCAUGGCUCUUACACGAAUGAUGCCUAGAGCAGACACAGCCCUUCCAGGACCAGAGGCCAAGGCUGACAAUGGGACAAGAGGGCGGAGGAAGAAGUGGGGAGCACCUAAGCCUUCCUCUGACCAAGCACUGUCCUAACCAAUUCUGAUUGGUUCACUUCUAGUUACAUGAUAUAAUAAAC